GACGAACGCUGGCGGCGUGCUUAACACAUGCAAGUCGAACGAAGUGGCGAACGGGUGAGUAACGCGUAAUCAACCUGCCCUUCAGAGGGGGACAACAGUUGGAAACGACUGCUAAUAACGCAUACUGAAGGAGGGGAUUGCGUUUGAUUAGCUAGUUGGAGGGGUAACGGCUCACCAAGGCGAUGUUAAGUAGCCGGUCUGGGAGGGUGAACGGCCACAUUGGGACUGAGACCCGGCCCAGACUCCGACGGGAGGCAGCAGUGGGGAAUCUUCCGCAAUGGACGAAAGUCGGACGGAGCAACGCCGCGUGAGUGAUGACGGCCUUCGGGUUGUAAAGCUCUGUUAAUCGGGACGCGGUACCGGAAUAGAAAGCCACGGCUAACUACGUGCCAGCCGCCGCGGUAAUUC
rnacentral:rRNA from 1 species